rnacentral:rRNA from 1 species
GCUAAGCGCGGCAGCGGACGACGGGUAAAGCGGGGGUGGCAAGCGUGUGCGGGAAUGAGUGGGCGUAAAGCGCGGGCAGGCGGUUUCUUAAGUCGGAUGGGAAAGCCCACGGCUCAACCGUGGAGGGUCAUUGGAAACUGGGGAACUUGAGUGCAGAAGAGAAAAGCGGAAUUCCACGUGUAGCGGUGAAAUGCGUAGAGAUGUGGAGGAACACCAGUGGCGAAGGCGGCUUUUUGGUCUGUAACUGACGCUGAGGCGCGAAAGCGUGGGGAGCAAACAGGAUUAGAUACCCGGGUAGUC